rnacentral:rRNA from 1 species
AGAGUUUGAUCAUGGCUCAGGACGAACGCUGGCGGCGUGCCUAAUGCAUGCAAGUCGAGCGGGCUACGAUCUUCGGAUUGUAGCUUAGCGGCGAACGGGUGAGUAACACGUAGGUAAUCUACCCUUCAGAGGAGGACAACCUCAGGAAACUGAGGCUAAACCUUCAUACGUUCACUGGUAGGGAUACUGGUGAAGAAAGAGUUACCUUAGUGGUAGCUGCUGAAGGAUGAGCCUGCGGCCCAUCAGGUAGUUGGUGAGGUAACGGCUCACCAAGCCGAAGACGGGUAACCGGUCUGAGAGGAUGUCCGGUCACACUGGGACUGAGACACGGCCCAGACUCCUACGGGAGGCAGCAGCAGGGAAUCUUGGGCAAUGGGCGAAAGCCUGACCCAGCGACGCCGCGUGGAGGAAGAAGUCCUUCGGGGCGUAAACUCCUGGACUGGGGGACGAGGAAGGACGGUACCCCAGUAGAAAGGGACGGCUAACUACGUGCCAGCAGCCGCGGUAAAACGUAGGUCCCGAGCGUUGUUCGGAUUCACUGGGUGUAAAGGGCGCGUAGGUGGUUGUCUGUGUCUCAUGUGAAAACUCAGGGCUCAACUCUGAGAUUGCGUGGGAAACUAGGCAGCUAGAGGACGGUAGAGGGGAGUGGAAUUCCCGGUGUAGCGGUAAAAUGCGUAGAUAUCGGGAGGAACACCGGUGGCGAAGGCGGCUCUCUGGGCCGAUCCUGACGCUGAGGCGCGAAAGCUAGGGGAGCGAACCGGAUUAGAUACCCGGGUAGUCCUAGCCGUAAACGAUGGGUGCUAGGUGUUG